rnacentral:rRNA from 1 species
UGUUCCCAUGCCGAACACAGCAGUUAAGCCCUUAUACGCCGAAAGUACUCGACUGGAAACGGUCCGGGAGGAUAGGGAGCUGCCGGUU